GCCCGCUGGGUGGUGGGAGCCGGGGGGCGCGAGGGGAACUCGGGGCGCGAGGCAGGAGCGGGAGAAACCCGGCGCUUCCGCUGCCAGCGCGGGGUGCUGCGGGUUCAGGGCAAGUCUGAAUCUCCAGCAAAGCAGGAAGGACCCCGUUUGCCUUGUGUCAGUCACGUCGUCUUCAGGUCUGGGGUCAGCCUCCCCCUUCUACAUCUGCGGCAGCAAGCUUGUUAGCCGCAGAGGCGAAGCCCGCCGUGAGGUGAGGGAAAAAUGCUUGCGCACGUACCAGACGGUCAGCUCUUACAUAACACCUUUACCAUUUCCAGGCGCUGCAUAAACAGUAACUGGUUAAUCCUGAAACAAUUUCAGCAGAACAGGGUUUUACACGAGAUGAAAUAGAAAUACAACAAUGUUUAGAGACUCGUCCCACGUCCCGUUAAGAAUCCAUAACAGAGCUGGAGUAGAGGCGUACGACUCCCACCCUUUUGCCUCGGCCUAGACGGUACCAUUUCCAACGUCAUCUCCAGAGAAGAAGGAGUUAUAAAAGGAUGGGGGGAGUUCUUUGACUCAUAAGUUCUUAGUUUACAAAGACAAAACCGCAGUCGCUGUCUGAUAUUUCUGUGAACCACACUCUGAGGUGUCAGAGUCCCCGUGUGCGGUGCGGGGAGACAGGCAUCUGAAACCAGGGCUGACGGCAAGGUGUCCUGGGGCAUCAGGGUGUGUUUUCACUCUCAGUGAGAGCACGCCAGGUGACUAAUGCAAAGGUCGGUAGCUGUGCAGUUCCCCGUUUAGUCGUGGAUCUGGAGUCGUGAGAAUGGCUGGGAUGUUUCUCUACCUAAUAUUCUCCUUUCCCUUUGCUGCCCAGAAGUACUAUAGCUUGGUGCCAGCCUGUAGAUGCAAAGAGCACGAAAUCAAACACAUCUGCAGAUACCACAGCAAGCAAGCAGGUGAAAAAGUGUUGGAGGCUGCAGAAAAAAAAAAUGCAGCCUCUGUAGUGUGCAGUCAACCUAGAACUUGCCAACAACGUACCAGGAAGGCUUCCAAAGACAUAUACAUUGAAGUUUCUCCUGGCACCUACUCUAUCACAGCAACCUCAGAGGACAUGGUGAAACAAACCCACGUGAAAUAG
rnacentral:lncRNA from 1 species